rnacentral:rRNA from 1 species
AUUGAACGCUGGCGGCAUGCCUUACACAUGCAAGUCGAACGGUAACAGGUCUUCGGAUGCUGACGAGUGGCGAACGGGCGAGUAAUACAUCGGAACGUGCCUAGUAGUGGGGGAUAACUACUCGAAAGAGUGGCUAAUACCGCAUGAGAUCUACGGAUGAAAGCAGGGGAUCGCAAGACCUUGUGCUACUAGAGCGGCCGAUGGCAGAUUAGGUAGUUGGUGGGAUAAAAGCUUACCAAGCCGACGAUCUGUAGCUGGUCUGAGAGGACGAUCAGCCACACUGGGACUGGGACACGGCCCAGACUCCUACGGGAGGCAGCAGUGGGGAAUUUUGGACAAUGGGCGAAAGCCUGAUCCAGCAAUGCCGCGUGCAGGAUGAAGGCCUUCGGGUUGUAAACUGCUUUUGUGCGGAACGAAAAGCCCCGGGUUAAUACCCUGGGGUCAUGACGGUACCGUAAGAAUAAGCACCGGCUAACUACGUGCCAGCCGCCGCCGUAA